CGCGAAUGGCUCAUUACAACAGCUAACAAAUCUACUUGAUCUUGACACAAUCCUACUUGGAUAACCGUGGUAAUUCUAGAGCUAAUACAUGCAUUAAAGCUCUGACCUUCGGGGAAGAGUGCAUUUAUUAGAACAAAACCAAGCGGCUUCGGCUGUUUUCGGUUGACUCAUAGUAACUGAGCUGAUCGCAUGGUCUUGCACCGGCGACGUGUCUUUCGAGUAUCUGCCGUAUCAACUUUCGAUGGUAGUGUAUCUGACUACCAUGGUGAUCACGCGUAACGGAGAAUAAGGGUUCGACUCCGGAGAGUUCGCCUGAGAAAUCGCGAACACAUCUAAGGAAGGCAGCAGGCGCGAAAAUUACCCACUCUCAGCACGAGGAGGUAGUGACGAAAAAUAACGAGACCGUUCUCUUUCGAGGCCGGUCAUCGGAAUGGGUACAAUUUAAACCCUUUAACGAGUAUCUAUGAGAGGGCAAGUCUGGUGCCAGCAGCCGCGGUAAUUCCAGCU
rnacentral:rRNA from 1 species